GUAGAAACUAUGACGAGGAGGAGUAUAUAUAUUCCGUAAAUAAAGAGAGAGGAUGUUUAGCUGGAAAUUUCUCAUGAAGAAUAUAUAGAAGGUAGCCUCAGAGUUUUUAAUCGAAAUUUACUUAGUAAAAAGUAGAAUUAAACGGAGUCUCACCGUUAAAAGAGAAAUAAUAUCGGUUAUAAUACCUGUAUUAUAUUGAGUGUGUAUUUUUAUACAAAAAUUGGUGGUACCGCGGAGUAAACCCUUCGUCCUUUUU
rnacentral:ncRNA from 1 species